rnacentral:rRNA from 1 species
GUAACGUCAAUACAACGGGGUAUUGGCCCAUUGCUUUUCCUCCCUACUGAAAGUGCUUUACAACCCGCAGGCCUUCUUCACACACGCGGCAUUGCUGCAUCAGGCUUUCGCCCAUUGUGCAAUAUUCCCC